CAAAAUUUAAGAAAAUUACAACUAAAAUAGGAUAUAUAUGAUUUUCCUAUGAGGAAAACUUUUUGAGUAGGGAAUAUCUCAAUUAAUUGUGACUAAUUUAGGGGAAGAAAUUCUGCCAAGAUAUUUUCUUCUUCCUCAAGUAUUUUCUUUUUCUGCGAGAUUUGAUAUUUAAGGAGUUUUCCUCUUUCUCAAGAUAGCUUACAAUUUAAGAACAAUUUUGUCUGUUGGUU
rnacentral:lncRNA from 1 species